CAGUCGCCGCGGUAAUACGUAGGGUGCAAGCGUUAAUCGGAAUUACUGGGCGUAAAGCGUGCGCAGGCGGUUUUGUAAGACAGAGGUGAAAUCCCCGGGCUCAACCUGGGAACUGCCUUUGUGACUGCAAGGCUAGAGUACGGCAGAGGGGGAUGGAAUUCCGCGUGUAGCAGUGAAAUGCGUAGAUAUGCGGAGGAACACCGAUGGCGAAGGCAAUCCCCUGGGCCUGUACUGACGCUCAUGCACGAAAGCGUGGGGAGCAAACAGGAUUAGAUACCCCCGUAGUCCCUGUCCUUAUACC
rnacentral:rRNA from 1 species